rnacentral:ribozyme from 1 species
CGAAGAGCGGAGGACGUUUUGAGGACGUUUUCCUCGGUCUCCAUCAGAUAGCGCUGUCAACUCCGUCUUUCUCUUCUUUCUUUUUUUUUCAUGUAUUUCUGCUGGUCAGGCAGGUCAUUCAUCUUCUCUA